CAUGCAAGUCGAACGAUGAUGCCCAGCUUGCUGGGCGGAUUAGUGGCGAACGGGUGAGUAAUACGUGAGUAACCUGCCCUUGACUCUGGGAUAAGCCUGGGAAACUGGGUCUAAUACUGGAUACUACCUCUUACCGCAUGGUGGGUGGUGGAAAGGGUUUUACUGGUUUUGGAUGGGCUCACGGCCUAUCAGCUUGUUGGUGGGGUAAUGGCUCACCAAGGCGACGACGGGUAGCCGGCCUGAGAGGGUGACCGGCCACACUGGGACUGAGACACGGCCCAGACUCCUACGGGAGGCAGCAGUGGGGAAUAUUGCACAAUGGGCGGAAGCCUGAUGCAGCGACGCCGCGUGAGGGAUGACGGCCUUCGGGUUGUAAACCUCUUUCAGUAGGGAAGAAGCGAGAGUGACGGUACCUGCAGAAGAAGCGCCGGCUAACUACGUGCCAGCAGCCGCGGUAAUACGUAGGGCGCAAGCGUUGUCCGGAAUUAUUGGGCGUAAAGAGCUCGUAGGCGGUUUGUCGCGUCUGCUGUGAAAGCCCGGGGCUCAACCCCGGGUCUGCAGUGGGUACGGGCAGACUAGAGUGCAGUAGGGGAGACUGGAAUUCCUGGUGUAGCGGUGAAGUGCGCAGAUAUCAGGAGGAACACCGAUGGCGAAGGCAGGUCUCUGGGCUGUUACUGACGCUGAGGAGCGAAAGCAUGGGGAGCGAACAGGAUUAGAUACCCUGGUAGUCCAUGCCGUAAACGUUGGGCACUAGGUGUGGGGGACAUUCCACGUUUUCCGCGCCGUAGCUAACGCAUUAA
rnacentral:rRNA from 1 species